rnacentral:rRNA from 1 species
GGAGAUGAGCCCAGCGCUGAAUCACCGCCUGCGUCAAUUGAUGACCCGGUGAGCCGUCGCGUAUAGGUGCAGCUAUCCUGGUGUUUGGUGCGCUCAAAGUCCCCUUGAGCGGGGCCACCGUCCAUAGAAGGUGCUAGACCUGUGCGGGCGACCAAUCACCGGGUGUGCUGUUCCCUGGAGUCGGGUUGCCUGAGAUCGCAGCCCAAAGUGGGUGGUAAACCUCAUCUAAGGCUAAAUAUGGCCACGAGACCGAUAGCAAACAAGUACCGUGAGGGAAAGUUGCAAAGAACUCUGAAGAGAGAGUUCAAGAGGACGUGAAACCGCUGGGAAGGAAGCGAAUAGAGUCGACGGAACCCGUUUCCAUCAUUCAACCGAUCAGCUCUGUGGUCUGCCACCGCGCUACCGUGCGCAACACUGCGGAGUGUGUCGGUGGUGGUCGCUGCGGAGUGGAGCUAGGCCCGUGUGAUCGGUGCAUUUGAUGGCGGUAUGCGCCGAGAGCCGCGUCACAGUGUGCGUCGAUGUCUGCCUGAUGCAGUGGACCGUUGAAGG